rnacentral:rRNA from 1 species
AACGAACGCUGGCGGCAGGCUUAACACAUGCAAGUCGAACGAGACCUUCGGGUCUAGUGGCGCACGGGUGCGUAACGCGUGGGAAUCUGCCCUUGGGUUCGGAACAACAGUUGGAAACGACUGCUAAUACCGGAUGAUGACUUCGGUCCAAAGAUUUAUCGCCCAGGGAUGAGCCCGCGUAGGAUUAGCUUGUUGGUGAGGUAAAAGCUCACCAAGGCGACGAUCCUUAGCUGGUCUGAGAGGAUGAUCAGCCACACUGGGACUGAGACACGGCCCAGACUCCUACGGGAGGCAGCAGUGGGGAAUAUUGGACAAUGGGCGAAAGCCUGAUCCAGCAAUGCCGCGUGAGUGAUGAAGGCCUUAGGGUUGUAAAGCUCUUUUACCCGGGAUGAUAAUGACAGUACCGGGAGAAUAAGCCCCGGCUAACUCCGUGCCAGCAGCCGCCGUAAGAC